rnacentral:miRNA from 1 species
AUGUCGGAAUUAGAAGUGGCUC